UACGGCGACCAUAGCGGGAGGGACACACCUGGACUCAUCCCGAACCCAGAAGUUAAGCCUCUCUGCGUCGUGAUCUGUACUGCUAGUAGCGGGAACAUCACAACGUCGCCGGCC
rnacentral:rRNA from 1 species